rnacentral:rRNA from 1 species
CCUACGGGUGGCAGCAGUGGGGAAUAUUGCACAAUGGGCGCAAGCCUGAUGCAGCCAUGCCGCGUGUGUGAAGAAGGCCUUCGGGUUGUAAAGCACUUUCAGCGGGGAGGAAGGCGGUGAGGUUAAUAACCUCAUCGAUUGACGUUACCCGCAGAAGAAGCACCGGCUAACUCCGUGCCAGCAGCCGCGGUAAUACGGAGGGUGCAAGCGUUAAUCGGAAUUACUGGGCGUAAAGCGCACGCAGGCGGUCUGUCAAGCGGAUGUGAAAUCCCCGGGCUCAACCUGGGAACUGCAUUCGAAGCUGGCAGGCUAGAGUCUUGUAGAGUGGGGUAGAAUUCCAGGGGUAGCGCUGAAAUGCGUAGAGAUCUGGAGGAAUACCGGUGGCGAAGGCGGCCCCCUGGACAAAGACUGACGCUCAUGUGCGAAAGCGUGGGAAGCAAACAGGAUUAGAUACCCGUGUAGUC